AGUAGCUUUGGGCAGGAGCAGGCAACUUGACCAGUCAACAGGAUUGGUAAGGUCACAGAUGGAAGUCAGAGGACACGGUUGAGAGCCAGUCUUUGCUUUCUACCGUCUUUGAGACCACCUGAUGUUCAGUGCCACAUAUACCAGGCUAUCUGGUCCAUGCCUCUCCUACUCACUAUGGAGGAUGACUUUAAUCUCCUCUGGCUGAAGCUAUUUUCAAGGGACUUCAUGAAACACAAGACUAGGAGAGAAUCUCUGCUGGUGACAGCAAGACCAUUCAUGGGUUGACUCCUAAAAGGUCCUAAAGGACCUAAAGGUUGACUCCAGAUCACAGCGAAGAACUUUCAAUGCCCUGGUCAGCUUAUGACUCUCACACAUACUGUGUUUGCAUGCCGCGUUUCUAAUAACUUAUUCUCCACUUGAAAACCAUCAAUAUCUGGGACUGGGUGGGUCUUUAUUAGGGAAGAGAUCAUUGCAUGUAUUAACUUUAUUUCUUCCAGUCACUAUCCAGUAGAGCAGUGAUUCUCAACCUGUGUGUCUGACCCUUCUGAGGGUUGAAUGACCUUUCUGCAGGGGUCGCCUAAGGGCAUCUGCCUAUCAGAUUACACUGUGAUUCAUAACAGUAGCAAAACUAGUUAUAACAAUAAAAAUAAUUUUAUAGCUGGGGGUCCACACAACAUGAGGAACUGUAUUAAAGAAUCACAACAUUUGGAAAGUUAAGAAUCACCACACACACACACAGUUUUCAAUACUGGCCUAGAGAUAUAGCCAGCUGACAAAGCAUUGCCAUGAAGGCCUGAUGACCUGAGCUCAGUUCCCAGAUUCACAUAAAAAAGCCGAGACGUGGCACGUGGCCAUAUAUUUCCUGCACUUGAGAGGAUCCGUUGGGUUUAGUGGUCAAACAGCGUUAGCCUACUCUGUGAGCCCCAGGCAGUGAGAAGCUCUGUUCAAAAACUAAGGACAACCUGCCCCUCCCCCAACACCUCUAAAACCCUCCUUCAGCCUUAGCAGUCAGUUAACAACUUUCCUAAUGGGAACGAGUUUCCUGUGUCCGUCUGGGGAUCUCUUUGGUUCAAAGGAAGCACCCUUUCAUCUGAGAAACCUUCCAGAAUUGCCCCCAGGCAGGGCAGAACUGGUCUGCACUCUCCCAGGUGCAGAAAGGACCUGGCUGCUGAGUUUAUCGGUGCUGUGGUCAUUUCUUGCCUCUCCCUGUCACACUGUAAACCCCGUCACAGUGUGAACUCCGGGAGGUCAGUGAUUAUGACUUCAAUCUGUAUUCUCCAAUUCUCUGCACUCAGCAUGUCUGAUCCAUGGGAAUUGAGAAAAGAGGAACGAAUGGACCAUAUGCUUAUACCUGCUGCUGGCUCUCCCUGAGGGGAGACUCCUGCAAGAUGCAGGUACCUUUAUCCUCGCCACUGGCAAGAUUUCAUCCCUGUGUCCUUACUAGUCGUCGAUAAAGGACAAGUCCUGCCUGGCUUCUUUUUCUAGUCACAGUUGAGUAGUGUCAAGGUCACAACGGAAACUGCUCAGGCGCAUCCUGUUGGUUGGCUUUCUUUGUCCUUUUGACACAACCUUGUGUUGGCUGGGAGACUUAAGAAGAGAGUAUCCAGAUCAGGUCGGCCUAUGGGCAUGCCUGUGGGGCAUUGUCAAGUUAAUUAAGGUGGGAAGACCUACCCUGAAUGUGAGCAGGCACCAGCACCAGCUGGACUCUGACCUAUAGGAGAUGAAGAUAGCUGAGUGUUAGCAGAGGCAAUCGGACAGCGUGAGUGCGUUCAUUUCUCUUCAGUCUUGACUAUAGAUGUGCGUGACUUGCUGCUUCAGUUCUUACCUUGACAUCUUCAAAAUGAUGGACCAUGUGGUAGGACGGCAACCCAGAUAAAGCCCUUUCCUCUACAACGCUACCUUUGUCUGGAUGUUUUAGCCCUGCGGCUGGGACAGCCACUUUGUUUAUGCUUUGUCUGCCUCAAGGAAUGGAGACCCCAUCCUAUAGGUGGGGGAUACUGAGGCCGCAAGGGUUUAUUCACAAGCCCAGCCCAGUGUUCUGUAGCCUUAAGAUAAUAGCCUAAGGCAGUUUUACUGCAAAACCCAUUCCCUGCUCUGCCUAUGGGCUCCAGACUUUUUUUUUUUUUCAAGACAGGAUCUUGCUAUGUAGUCCUGGCUGACCUGGAACUCCCUUUAUAGACCAUACUAGCCUCACUAUGCUCGGCUGCAAAGUUAUUUUUUAAUUUGGACUAUACUUAGCCUGUUGCCACAUGAAGUCCGAGUGGCCUCUUUGCCCAGACAACGGGCUG
rnacentral:lncRNA from 1 species